GACGAACGCUGGCGGCGUGCUUAACACAUGCAAGUCGAACGGAAAGGCCCUGCUUUUGUGGGGUGCUCGAGUGGCGAACGGGUGAGUAACACGUGAGUAACCUGCCCUUGACUUUGGGAUAACUUCAGGAAACUGGGGCUAAUACCGGAUAGGAGCUCCUGCUGCAUGGUGGGGGUUGGAAAGUUUCGGCGGUUGGGGAUGGACUGGCGGCUUAUCAGCUUGUUGGUGGGGUAGUGGCUUACCAAGGCUUUGACGGGUAGCCGGCCUGGGAGGGUGACCGGCCACAUUGGGACUGAGAUACGGCCCAGACUCCUACGGGAGGCAGCAGUGGGGAAUAUGGCACAAUGGGCGGAAGCCUGAUGCAGCAACGCCGCGUGCGGGAUGACGGCCUUCGGGUUGUAAACCGAUUUCGCCUGUGACGAAGCGUGAGUGACGGUAAUGGGUAAAGAAGCACCGGCUAACUACGUG
rnacentral:rRNA from 1 species